rnacentral:rRNA from 1 species
UCUCUCUGAAUCUGCGAACGGCUCCGCAAACCAGUUGUAAACUAGAGCAAGCAAGCCUGGCUGGCUUCGGCCUCCAGGUGAUAUGGAUAACCCUGGUAAUUCUGAGGCUAAUACAUGACCGCAAAACCGGGCAGCCCAGCAAUGGAUGCUCGGGGAUGUGCGAUAUGGCUUGACAAUAACCGGGAAAGGACGCACACUCAGACCGCGCUAAAAAAGGAUCGGGACUCUCUUCGGAGAACCUGGCCCCCAGCGGCUCUUGCUGUGUGCUUCUGACCUAUCAACUAGACGGCAGCGUAAUGGACAUGCUAUGGUGACAACGGGUACAGAGGAUUAGGGUUCGAUCCUGGAGAGUGGGCCUGAGAGAUU